rnacentral:rRNA from 1 species
AGGAAUUGGGGGUGCCUCAAACACACAUAGAGGAGCCUGUUCUAUAACCGAUAAUCCACGAUCCACCUAACCACCCCUUGCCAACACAGCCUACAUACCGCCGUCGCCAGCUCACCUCUAAUGAAAGAACAACAGUGAGCCCAACAGUCCCCACUAGCAAGACAGGUCAAGGUAUAGCCCAUGGGGUGGAAGAAAUGGGCUACAUUUUCUAGCAUAGAACAUAACGGAAAAGAGCGUGAAACUCGCCCUUAGAAGGAGGAUUUAGCAGUAAAGUAGGACCACACUCCCCUUCAAGCCUUCUUAAAGACGGCUCUGAGGCACGUACACACCGCCCGUCACCAAA